UGGAAGUAAAAAUCGUAACAAGGUCUCCGUUGGUGAACCAGCGGAGGGAUCAUUACCGAGUUUACAACUCCCAAACCCCUGUGAACAUACCUAUACGUUGCCUCGGCGGAUCAGCCCGCGCCCCGUAAAACGGGACGGCCCGCCCGAGGACCCCUAAACUCUGUUUUUAGUGGAACUUCUGAGUAAAACAAACAAAUAAAUCAAAACUUUCAACAACGGAUCUCUUGGUUCUGGCAUCGAUGAAGAACGCAGCAAAAUGCGAUAAGUAAUGUGAAUUGCAGAAUUCAGUGAAUCAUCGAAUCUUUGAACGCACAUUGCGCCCGCCAGUAUUCUGGCGGGCAUGCCUGUUCGAGCGUCAUUUCAACCCUCAAGCUCAGCUUGGUGUUGGGACUCGCGGUAACCCGCGUUCCCCAAAUCGAUUGGCGGUCACGUCGAGCUUCCAUAGCGUAGUAAUCAUACACCUCGUUACUGGUAAUCGUCGCGGCCACGCCGUAAAACCCCAACUUCUGAAUGUUGACCUCGGAUCAGGUAGGAAUACCCGCUGAACUUAAGCAUAUCAAAAGCCGGAGGAA
rnacentral:rRNA from 1 species